GACAGAGUGAGGGAGGGAGUGGGUGACCAGUGACAGAGGGAGGGGGUGACACAGUGAGGGAGGUGGUGACUGUCACUAGUCACUACCUCCCUCACUCUGUCCCUAGUCACCCCUCCCUCUGUCACUAGUCACCCCCUCCCUCUCUCUGUCACU